rnacentral:rRNA from 1 species
AUUGAACGCUGGCGGCAGGCCUAACACAUGCAAGUCGAGCGGUAGAGAGAAGCUUGCUUCUCUUGAGAGCGGCGGACGGGUGAGUAAUGCCUAGGAAUCUGCCUGGUAGUGGGGGAUAACGCUCGGAAACGGACGCUAAUACCGCAUACGUCCUACGGGAGAAAGCAGGGGACCUUCGGGCCUUGCGCUAUCAGAUGAGCCUAGGUCGGAUUAGCUAGUUGGUGAGGUAAUGGCUCACCAAGGCGACGAUCCGUAACUGGUCUGAGAGGAUGAUCAGUCACACUGGAACUGAGACACGGUCCAGACUCCUACGGGAGGCAGCAGUGGGGAAUAUUGGACAAUGGGCGAAAGCCUGAUCCAGCCAUGCCGCGUGUGUGAAGAAGGUCUUCGGAUUGUAAAGCACUUUAAGUUGGGA